rnacentral:lncRNA from 1 species
CCUUCUCGCUUGUCCCAACUUCGACUUAACUAGCUUAUCAUCUUCUUCAAUUCUAAAAAACCUAACCGUCAUUAUGGUUAGAGAAGAGAUCAUCAACAAAGUCCUAUCUCAAACAGAUGUUGAUUAUCGAUUAGCAUUUCCAACAGCUAGUUUAUGGGGUAUUCAAAUCCCUGAGGGAUAAAAUGCUAUGGAGUUUGAAGCUACUAGUGCUGAUAAUAUUCAUGAACACUGGAACUUCAGACUCUGCUGCGAGAGAUACAGAAAACCUGAACUCACUGGAGAUUGGCUUCAGUUUGUAAGUAGCAAGAAUCUUUGUAAGGGUAACAAAAUCAUCUUGACAAUGGAGCUUGAUGAAGCUACUGGAGAGCGAUCGUACACCAUUAGAGCUGAGGCAAAGCUUAUGGAUGAAUGUUUUGUGAGUUAGUUUUUAUUUGGAGUCUGCUUUUGAUUUGAAUAAGUAGUGAGUUUAAUUAAUUUAAAAUUAAAGAUAAAUUUAUCGAUAAAAUGUCAACUUUUCUCGUAAAAGUAUAUUAUAAGAUAAACUCAGUGCGAAUAAGAAUUUUUUCGAAAUAAAUUUAUAAAAAAAUUUUAGAUAAGCUUAGGAUAAGUUGAUAGUGCUUUAUGUAGGUGUUGGUGUUUGUUAUA